UGCAUGGUAGUUUAGCCGUUAGCACAUUGGCCUCAUACCUCCAGGUCUGGGGGCUCGAAUCCCUCCUAUGCUG